rnacentral:tRNA from 1 species
GACAAUCUGGCCGAGUGGUUAUGGCGUGUGACUCAAGCAUAAGCUUGCCAGUUCUCAAACUGGCUGGGUUUCUCAUGGGCUUUGCCCGCGUGGGUUCGAAUCCCACGGUUGUCA